GACGAACGCUGGCGGCGUGCUUAACACAUGCAAGUCGAACGGAAAGGCCCUGCUUUUGUGGGGUGCUCGAGUGGCGAACGGGUGAGUAACACGUGAGUAACCUGCCCUUGACUUUGGGAUAACUUCAGGAAACUGGGGCUAAUACCGGAUAGGAGCUCCUGCUGCAUGGUGGGGGUUGGAAAGUUUCGGCGGUUGGGGAUGGACUCGCGGCUUAUCAGCUUGUUGGUGGGGUAGUGGCUUACCAAGGCUUUGACGGGUAGCCGGCCUGAGAGGGUGACCGGCCACAUUGGGACUGAGAUACGGCCCAGACUCCUACGGGAGGCAGCAGUGGGGAAUAUUGCACAAUGGGCGGAAGCCUGAUGCAGCAACGCCGCGUGCGGGAUGACGGCCCUCGGGUUGUAAACCGCUUUCGCCUGUGACGAAGCGUGAGUGACGGUAAUGGGUAAAUAAGCACCGGCUAACUACGUG
rnacentral:rRNA from 1 species